rnacentral:rRNA from 1 species
UACGUAGGGGGCGAGCGUUGUCCGGAUUUAUUGGGCGUAAAGAGCGUGUAGGCGGCCAGGUAGGUCUGCUGUGAAAACUCGAGGCUCAACCUCGAGACGUCGAUGGAAACCGUCUGGCUAGAGUCCGGAAGAGGAGAGUGGAAUUCCUGGUGUAGCGGUGAAAUGCGCAGAUAUCAGGAAGAACACCUAUGGCGAAGGCAGCUCUCUGGGACGGUACUGACGCUGAGACGCGAAAGCGUGGGGAGCGAACAGG